UGACCGAGUGGGGCUGUCGCGCCGUAUGUUGGCGAAAGCUGUUACGGCGAGGAAAGUCCGGGCAUCGCAGAGCAGGAUAACGGAUAACGUCCGCCCGGGGCGACCCGCGGGAAAGUGCAACAGAAAUAAACCGCCCUGAUUGUUAUGUAGUGCGCAGAAGACGUGAAUUUCACGGCGCAAGGCAUAGUUACCUAUGUCAAGCCUGAAAAUCGCGUCUAAAAAGUCUUGGAUUUUGUUCUGCACUCUACAUAGCAAUCAGGGUAAGGAUGGAAAGGCGAGGUAAGAGCUCACCCACUCCUAUGGUAACAUAGGUUUGCUGUAAACCCUAUCCGAUGCAACACCUUGAUUUUCAGGCAACUGACGGGCUGCUCGCCCGUUUCAUGGUGGCAGAGCCAUUUGGCUUGAACUGCGGAGUAAUUCGCAGUGAAGAUAGAUGACGGCUGCGUCGCAAGACGUACAGAACCCGGCUUACAAACUCGGUCAUUAC
rnacentral:RNase_P_RNA from 1 species